rnacentral:misc_RNA from 1 species
GAUGAAGAACGCAGCGAAAUGCGAUACGUAAUGUGAAUUGCAGAAUUCAGUGAAUCAUCGAAUCUUUGAACGCAUAUUGCGCUCUCUGGUAUUCCGGAGAGCAUGCUUGUUUGAGUAUCAGUAAACACCUCAACUCCCAUAUCUUUUUUGAAAUGGGAGUUGGACUUGAGUGAUCCCAACGCUUUUCCUCACCGAAAAGUGGCGGGUUACUUGAAAUGCAGGUGCAGCUGGACUUUUCUCUGAGCUAUAAGCAUAUCUAUUUAGUCUGCCUAAAAAACAGAUUAUUACCUUUGCUGCAGCUAACAUAAAGGAGAUUAGUUCUUGUGCUGACUGAUGCAGGAUUCACAAAGACAGGCUUCGGCCGACUUUGUAAACUCGAUCUCAAAUCAAGUAAGACUACCCGCUGAACUUAAGCAUAUCAAUAAGCGGAGGA